rnacentral:rRNA from 1 species
UACGUAGGGCGCAAGCGUUGUCCGGAAUUACUGGGCGUAAAGCGCACGUAGGCGGCUUUGUAAGUAAGAGGUGAAAGCCUGGAGCUCAACUCCAGAAUUGCCUUUUAGACUGCAUCGCUUGAAUCAUGGAGAGGUGAGUGGAAUUCCGAGUGUAGAGGUGAAAUUCGUAGAUAUUCGGAAGAACACCAGUGGCGAAGGCGGCUCACUGGACAUGUAUUGACGCUGAGACGCGAAAAGCGUGGGGAGCAAACAGG